GACCGCGUAGCUCAGUUGGAAGAGCAUUGGGCUGGUAUUCCAAAGGUCGUAGGUUCGAAUCCCACCGUGGACG